CCUACGGGUGGCAGCAGUGGGGAAUAUUGCACAAUGGGGGAAACCCUGAUGCAGCCAUGCCGCGUGUGUGAAGAAGGCCUUCGGGUUGUAAAGCACUUUCAGCGAGGAGGAAAGGUCAGUAGCUAAUAUCUGCUGGCUGUGACGUUACUCGCAGAAGAAGCACCGGCUAACUCCGUGCCAGCAGCCGCGGUAAUACGGAGGGUGCAAGCGUUAAUCGGAAUUACUGGGCGUAAAGCGCACGCAGGCGGUUGGAUAAGUUAGAUGUGAAAGCCCCGGGCUCAACCUGGGAAUUGCAUUUAAAACUGUCCAGCUAGAGUCUUGUAGAGGGGGGUAGAAUUCCAGGUGUAGCGGUGAAAUGCGUAGAGAUCUGGAGGAAUACCGGUGGCGAAGGCGGCCCCCUGGACAAAGACUGACGCUCAGGUGCGAAAGCGUGGGGAGCAAACAGGAUUAGAUACCCCUGUAGUC
rnacentral:rRNA from 1 species